CCUACGGGAGGCAGCAGUGGGGAAUAUUGCACAAUGGGGGAAAGCCUGAUCCAGCAACGCCGCGUGAGGGAGGAAGUAUUUCGGUAUUUUAAACUCUAUCUGCAGGGAAUAGAAAAGAAGGUCCCUGAACAAGCAGCCCCGACUAACUACGUGCGAGCAGCCGCAGUCAUUCGGAGGAGCCAAGCGUUAUCCGGAUUUACUGGGUGUAAAGGGAGCGUAGACGGAAAGGCAAGUCAGAAGUGAAAGCCCAAGGCUCAACCAUGGGACUGCUGUUGAACCUGGCAAACUAGAGUACAGGAGAGGUAAGCGGAAUGCCUAGUGUAGCGGUGAAAUGCGUAGAUAUUA
rnacentral:rRNA from 1 species